CCUACGGGUGGCAGCAGUGGGGAAUAUUGGGCAAUGGGCGCAAGCCUGACCCAGCAACGCCGCGUGAAGGAAGAAGGCUUUCGGGUUGUAAACUUCUUUUGUUAGGGGAGUGUAGACGACGGUAUCUGUCGAAUUAGCCACAGCUAACUACGUGGCAGCAGCUGCGGUAAUACGGCGGUGGCAAGCGUUGUACGGAUUUACUGGGUGUAAAGGGCGUGUAGGCGGGUUGACAAGUCAGAUGUGAAAUCCUGCGGCUGAACCGCAGAACUGCAUUUGACACUGUUGCUCUUGAGUACUGGAGAGGCAGAUGGAAUGCAUGGUGUAGCGGUGAAAUGCGUAGAUAUUA
rnacentral:rRNA from 1 species